GGAGAUACCUCAAAGAACUAGGACUGGAAGUCCCAUUUGACCCAGCUAUUCCACUGCUGGGGAUCUUCCCCAAAGAAUUAAAAGAAUCAUACCACAGUGAUAUAUGUGCACCCAUGUUCAUAGCAGCACAGUUUGUAAUAGCUAAAACUUGGAAACAGCCCAAAUGCCCAUCAACUGGAGACUGGAUAAAGAAAAUGUGGUUUUUUAUAAAAUGGAGUACUACUCAGCCAUCAAAAAUGAGAAGUUAGAGACAUUUCUAGCUAAGUGGAUGCACAUUGAGGCGAUACUCUUAAAUGAAAUAAAUAGGACACACAUGCAUAAAUACUGAAUAGUUUCUCUGGUGUGAGAAACUGAAAGUGUAAAUAAGGACUAAAUGUAUAAUAGGGUCUUCCAGAGCAUAACUGACAACAUGAUUGACAAGAGUGCUGAGUCACAUCACCUGCAUCUACUGCACAUGUCCUUUCCCAUAAUUCACUUUGUUACAACUGGAUGUAUGAGACGCAGUCCAUGUGCAUGAACCUUCAAUGAGCUCCAGGUGAAGAAAGGUUUCUGCAGGUCAUUGGUGUGUGUGGAUCCUGGUUUAGAAUUUUGGAAUUUUCCCAGGCAGGUUUAGGGAUCUUUGCUUUUCUUAUGUCUGCCUGCAUGUAGUAAGGGGUUGGCCUUGGGUUGUUGCUCAGGUGCAGGUGAGUGGAGGGAAGUGGUCCCAUAGCCCCAGUUGUAGUGUCUAUAUUAGGUUCAAUCCCCAGUGCUAUUGAAAAAAAAAAAGUCAUCAUGCCCAGAGAGAUUCUUCAUCACCCCCUGUAGGAGCGGCUCACAGAGAGUCAUUACCUGCAUUAAUAUGACUACUUUUGUUCCUUGCCUAGUUCUCUCUUUCACCUGCCCACUCGUCACCACCUCCCCCACAGCCCAGAAUUUUCUCUCAGGCUAUUGUCAGUUCUCCCACCUGUGAAUUUCCCUAACAAUCGUGUACAACCCAUCUUCAGGUUGACUAGACCCCCACUGCUCUCUGUCCUAUGAAGAGGGGUGUUUUGAAUAUCAUCGGGAUAUUGGGCACUCUCCUGGGAUUCUCUGUGCAUAUAAUAAACACACAUGCUUUUCUCUCCUG
ensembl:lncRNA